UAGCAUAUCAAUAAGCGGAGGAAAAGAAACCAACAGGGAUUACCUCAGUAACGGCGAGUGAAGCGGUAACAGCUCAAAUUUGAAAUCUGGCUCUUUUAGGGUCCGAGUUGUAAUUUGUAGAAGAUGCUUUGGGCGUGGCUCCGGUCUAAGUUCCUUGGAACAGGACGUCAUAGAGGGUGAGAAUCCCGUAUGUGACUGGUAGCUUUCGCCCGUGUAAAGCUCUUUCGACGAGUCGAGUUGUUUGGGAAUGCAGCUCAAAAUGGGUGGUAAAUUUCAUCUAAAGCUAAAUAUUGGCCAGAGACCGAUAGCGCACAAGUAGAGUGAUCGAAAGAUGAAAAGCACUUUGGAAAGAGAGUUAAACAGUACGUGAAAUUGUUGAAAGGGAAGCGCUUGCAACCAGACUCGCAGGCCGUCGAUCAUCCAGGGUUCUCCCCGGUGCACUCGGCGGUUUUCGGGCCAGCAUCGGUUUGGGUGGUGGGAUAAAGGCCUUGGGAAUGUAGCUUCUUUCGGGGAGUGUUAUAGCCCUCGGUGCAAUGCCGCCUACCCGGACCGAGGACCGCGCUUCGGCUAGGAUGCUGGCGUAAUGGUUGUAAGCGACCCGUCUUGAAACACGGACCAAGGAGUCUAACAUCUAUGCGAGUAUUUGGGUGUUAAACCCAUAUGCGUAAUGAAAGUGAACGGAGGUGAGAACCCUUAAGGGUGCAUCAUCGACCGAUCCUGAUGUCUUCGGAUGGAUUUGAGUAAGAGCAUAGCUGUUGGGACCCGAAAGAUGGUGAACUAUGCCUAAAUAGGGUGAAGCCAGAGGAAACUCUGGUGGAGGCUCGCAGCGGUUCUGACGUGCAAAUCGAUCGUCAAAUUUGGGUAUAGGGGCGAAAGACUAAUCGAACCAUCUAGUAGCUGGUUCUG
rnacentral:rRNA from 1 species